GGCUGAUCCAAAGGUAGUGAGUUGAUUGUUUACAGUUAGCUACAGAUCAUACUGUUUGUUCUAUUCUUUCGCUGCUGCAUUUGACUAGUCCAAA
ensembl:Y_RNA Y_RNA Y RNA